GUAAGUGAUGACGUCAUUUG
rnacentral:miRNA from 1 species